rnacentral:lncRNA from 1 species
UUCUGAGUCACCUUCAAAGGUAGCCCCACAUAGAGUCUAUUGCAGUAGUCCAAGCGAGAGAUAACUAGAGCAUGCACCACUCUGGCGAGACAGUUAGCGGGCAAGUAGGGUCUCAGCCUGCAUACCAGAUGGAGCUGGUAAACAGCUGCCCUGGACACAGAAUUAACCUGCGCCUCCAUGGACAGCUGUGAGUCCAAAAUGACUCCCAGGCUACACACCUGGUCCUUCAGGGGCACAAUUACCCCAUUCAGGACCAGGGAGUCCUCCACACCAGCCCGCCUCCUGUCUCCCCAAAACAGUACUUCUGUCUUGUCAGGAUUCAACCUCAAUCUGUUAGCCACCAUCCAUCCUCCAACCACCUCCAGACACUCACACAGGACCUUCACCGCCUUCAUGGAUUCAGGACCCAAACAGGGCACAUCAGUGGUGAUGUCUCAUCUGACUUCCCACCUAUACCCUAUGGGCUGCCCUUGCUGAGCAGCAGCAGCAAGCAGCUUGGAAAUUGCAUUUUUUGAGCUGCUCCAUUAAAGUAUUCUGGGUAUUAGCAGGUGGCUUGCAGCUUCCCAGUGCAGACUGUAGUACUGCUGCCACAGGUAAGCUUGCUGUAGGUGGGUGGAUGCUGGUGAUGGUGUUAGAUGAGACUUCUCCUCUGGAGCCAGCCCUGAAUGAAACAUCCAAGGAAUUUCAAGGGGAACAAAAAGAAUUUUGCUAAGAUUAGAGAAGGUUUGGUCAAUGUUAGUGUUGGUGGACAACUGCCUGCAGCCACAGCCAUCACAGCCAAUGGACAAGGUGAUCAGAUCAGUACUUCACCAACAUUUGGAAAGCAUCAUGUUGGCUGAAGCAGCUUCAAAAUAUUUCUUCACGACAUCUCUGAAUCCUGCACCAACAUGAGAUUGACAGCUUUUCUCCUGGCAGUGAUUCUGUACCAUUAAUAAUUAUGCCCCCAUUAAUGUAUUGGCUCCUCUAGGAAGUAAAUCCAGGGGGUCCCUGUGGAAGGCUGCCCUUCACUAGAGAUGGGGAGAAAUUCAGUGCAAAUCACUUUUAAAGGUGAACCUACCCAAUUCACUCUUCCUGAAACAAUAUGCAAACUGAAUUAUACCCAUUCUUCAAAAUUCACACUUUCCUGAAUUUUGUGAUACAGUUCUCUAGCCACGCUAUGUGUACAAAAAUGCAUAUACUGGGAUAGUGUGCAAAUAAAUGCAUAUAUUAGGUUGGGGUUUUUUUUUAAGAAGACAAAAAUGCAUAUUUGGGAAAUUGCUUUGAAAAAAUUGCAUAUAGUCACAUGUAUAAGGAUAAAUUCUUGGUAAAAUGCUGCUGAAUUUUCAGGAGGACUUUGAAAAACUGAUGUGGAAAUGUGGAGAGCUGAAGAAUGGGGAAACCGGAAGAAAACAAAAUAGUCAAAUAUGCAAAUCCCUACCUUUCCCCCAUGUCUUUCUAACAAACCACCUGAACUUAUGAAAGAACCACUACAAAUGAUCUUAAAAUAGACUUUCCUUUUCUUGACGUUCAGCUUUUAAAAUCUCCUGGAGCUGGUCCUGGACCACGGAUGUGUAUCUCCUAACUCCACCAUAAUUUGAAAUGGCACUCUUGCAUGGCUCCUGCUGGGUGAUGCCACCAGUCAUCAGAGUGAAGACUACCCGCUUUUCUGCUCACUCUCACGCCACCUGCCCCGCCGCUGCCACAUUCUCUCAUCUCUCAAGUUGCCUACCUUGGAAAUGCUAUCUGUCCCCCUUCCUUCUCUAGGCUAUUUAUCUCCACGAUCUGCUACAGUGGGUUGCAGAAUUCAAGCAGCAGGCCUCCAUCCACCCUGCUGUUUCCCAGCCCUUGAAGAAAGCAGACGACAAAAGCCUGGACAACCCCAAAAUGAAUAAAUCUCCUCCCGGACGUCGUUGCUAUAUGUUUGACAUUCAUUCUUGUUGGAAGCGGUGUGUAACCGGGUCCAAAGGAAAUCAGGCAUUUUUGUCGUUACUCCUCUGCCUUUAACAAUAGCUCGACAAACAAAAACUUAGCAGGUGAAUCUUUUUGCCAAUGUUUCUCUCCACACCAGGAAAUACUGGGUGGGCCAGGUUCCUUCAUAUCAUACUGAUGUUCCAGGCAAAGAAAUAUGCUGAUUUGGGGGGGUUGUUUUGUUUUUUUAAAGGAAAUAUUUUUAUUGACGUUUUCACAAUACAAUUAAAAGAACUAAUCAAAAGAAAGAAACUGAAGAAAGAAGAAAUGGAAAAAGAAACUACAAAAUCUUCCCUCACCACUAUAUUUUAACUUUCAUCCCCUACAGAGGAUUCUGGGGGUUUUAAAGUGGAAAAUAAAGACUAGGGAC